UGGCGGACGGGUGAGUAACGCGUGGGUAACCUGCCUCACACUGGGGGACAACAGUUAGAAAUGACUGCUAAUACCGCAUAAGCGCACGGGACCGCAUGGUCCGGUGUGAAAAACUCCGGUGGUGUGAGAUGGACCCGCGUUUGAUUAGCUAGUUGGUGGGGUAACGGCCUACCAAGGCGACGAUCAAUAGCCGACCUGAGAGGGUGACCGGCCACAUUGGGACUGAGACACGGCCCAA
rnacentral:rRNA from 1 species